rnacentral:rRNA from 3 species
UACAGAGGUCUCAAGCGUUGUUCGGAUUCAUUGGGCGUAAAGGGUGCGUAGGUGGUGAUGCAAGUCUGGUGUGAAAUCUCGGAGCUCAACUCCGAAAUUGCACCGGAUACUGCGUGACUCGAGGACUGUAGAGGAGAUCGGAAUUCACGGUGUAGCAGUGAAAUGCGUAGAUAUCGUGAGGAAGACCAGUUGCGAAGGCGGAUCUCUGGGCAGUUCCUGACACUGAGGCACGAAGGCCAGGGGAGCAAACGGG